AGGAUAAACGCUGGCGGCGUGCCUAACACAUGCAAGUCGCACGAGAAAGGGGAGCAAUCCCUGAGUAAAGUGGCGCACGGGUGAGUAACACGUGAAUUAUCUACCUCCGAGUGGGGAAUAACCUAGAGAAAUCUGGGCUAAUACCGCAUAACACUUACGAGUCAAAGCAGCAAUGCGCUUGGAGAGGAGUUCGCGGCCGAUUAGUUAGUUGGCGGGGUAAUGGCCCACCAAGACGAUGAUCGGUA
rnacentral:rRNA from 1 species